rnacentral:rRNA from 1 species
ACAGGGUGACAGCCCCGUACACAAAAAUACACAUACUGUGAGCUCGAUGAGUAGGGCGGGACACGUGGUAUCCUGUCUGAAUAUGGGGGGACCAUCCUCCAAGGCUAAAUACUCCUGACUGACCGAUAGUGAACCAGUACCGUGAGGGAAAGGCGAAAAGAACCCCGGCGAGGGGAGUGAAAAAGAACCUGAAACCGUGUACGUACAAGCAGUGGGAGCACGCUUAGGCGUGUGACUGCGUACCUUUUGUAUAAUGGGUCAGCGACUUAUAUUCUGUAGCAAGGUUAACCGAAUAGGGGAGCCGAAGGGAAACCGAGUCUUAACUGGGCGUUAAGUUGCAGGGUAUAGACCCGAAACCCGGUGAUCUAGCCAUGGGCAGGUUGAAGGUUGGGUAACACUAACUGGAGGACCGAACCGACUAAUGUUGAAAAAUUAGCGGAUGACUUGUGGCUGGGGGUGAAAGGCCAAUCAAACCGGGAGAUAGCUGGUUCUCCCCGAAAGCUAUUUAGGUAGCGCCUCGUGAAUUCAUCUCCGGGGGUAGAGCACUGUUUCGGCAAGGGGGUCAUCCCGACUUACCAACCCGAUGCAAACUGCGAAUACCGGAGAAUGUUAUCACGGGAGACACACGGCGGGUGCUAACGUCCGUCGUGAAGAGGGAAACAACCCAGACCGCCAGCUAAGGUCCCAAAGUCAUGGUUAAGUGGGAAACGAUGUGGGAAGGCCCAGACAGCCAGGAUGUUGGCUUAGAAGCAGCCAUCAUUUAAAGAAAGCGUAAUAGCUCACUGGUCGAGUCGGCCUGCGCGGAAGAUGUAACGGGGCUAAACCAUGCACCGAAGCUGCGGCAGCGACGCUGAUGCGUUGUUGGGUAGGGGAGCGUUCUGUAAGCCUGUGAAGGUGUACUGUGAGGUAUGCUGGAGGUAUCAGAAGUGCGAAUGCUGACAUAAGUAACGAUAAAGCGGGUGAAAAGCCCGCUCGCCGGAAGACCAAGGGUUCCUGUCCAACGUUAAUCGGGGCAGGGUGAGUCGACCCCUAAGGCGAGGCCGAAAGGCGUAGUCGAUGGGAAACAGGUUAAUAUUCCUGUACUUGGUGUUACUGCGAAGGGGGGACGGAGAAGGCUAUGUUGGCCGGGCGACGGUUGUCCCGGUUUAAGCGUGUAGGCUGGU